GAAAUGCGAUACGUAAUGUGAAUUGCAGAAUUAUGUGAAUCAUCGAAUCUUUGAACGCACAUUGCGCUUUCUGGCUUGCCAGGAAGCAUGCCUGUUUGAGCAUCAGUAUUCUCCUCACUCCCCUCUGGAUCCUCGGAUCACUUUGGGGUCGGUGGACUUGGGCUUGCCUUCUACUUGUUGGAGGGCUGGCCUAAAAUGCAGAAACUGCAAAUCUUGCAUAUGCGCCAAGGUGUGUUGGGUAUUUCGAUACUACUGCACUGCGACGCGGCAAAAUUCUAUCAGUUUUAAAGCAGGAAUACACUCUAAAUUUGAUCUCAAAUCAGGCAAGAUUACCCGCUGAACUUAA
rnacentral:misc_RNA from 1 species